rnacentral:rRNA from 1 species
CGCUGGCGGCGUGCCUAACACAUGCAAGUCGAGCGAGGAGAUCCUUCGGGAUGAUCCUAGCGGCGGACGGGUGAGUAACACGUGGGCAACCUGCCUCAUAGAGAGGAAUAGCCUUCCGAAAGGGAGAUUAAUACCUCAUAACAUUGCAGUUUCGCAUGGAACAGCAAUUAAGGAGUAAUCCGCUAUGAGAUGGGCCCGCGGCGCAUUAGCUAGUUGGUGAGGUAAUGGCUCACCAAGGCGACGAUGCGUAGCCGACCUGAGAGGGUGAUCGGCCACAUUGGGACUGAGACACGGCCCAGACUCCUACGGGAGGCAGCAGUGGGGAAUAUUGCACAAUGGGGGAAACCCUGAUGCCAGCAACGCCGCGUGAGUGAUGACGGCCUUCGGGUUGUAAAGCUCUGUCUUCAGGGACGAUAAUGACGGUACCUGAGGAGGAAGCCACGGCUAACUACGUGCCAGCCGCGGC